rnacentral:lncRNA from 1 species
CGAGAAUUUUAUUGGAAUUGUGGGGUUCAAAACUGUACCAACACUUCCUUGGAGGCAUUAUUGCGUAAACUAGUUCAAAACGAUUAUCACUGCACCCGAGUAACUUCUUACUCAAGAAGGCCCUGUGUCUCUGAAGGUGGCAUGUACGAGCGGGCAGAGAACACCAGGGAGCUUGCUGGAAAUGCGGAAUCUCAAGACUCACUUUAGGAAAGAUCCCCAGGAAAGCUGCUUUCUCAAGAAUAUCAUGGAGCGGAGGCUUCCCAGCCCUCAACUUCUCGACUCCCGGCGCUGGAACCCGCCUCGAACAAGAAGACGAGACAACAGCUCUCAAGGCCAAAUGCAGGCUAGUGGGAAAAUGCCAAACUGCACAAGCUACAUGCGCCCCCCUUCCCAACCCAAAACCCCAAAUAAAAAUCCCUACCCGUUCCUCAUCGGGGAGCUAGCAAUUUUUGAGGCAUGAGCCCUUGCUUUGCUCCCUGUGCCUGGCAUAGUAAAAACCUUUCCUCUCCACUCAAAA